GACGAACGCUGGCGGCGUGCUUAACACAUGCAAGUCGAACGGUAAGGCCCUUCGGGGUACACGAGUGGCGAACGGGUGAGUAACACGUGGGUGAUCUGCCCUGCACUUCGGGAUAAGCCUGGGAAACUGGGUCUAAUACCGGGUAGGACCACUGCCUGCAUGGGUGGUGGUGGAAAGCUUUUGCGGUGUGGGAUGGGCCCGCGGCCUAGCAGCUUGUUGGUGGGGUGAUGGCCUCCCAAGGCGACGACGGGUAGCCGGCCUGAGAGGGUGACCGGCCACACUGGGACUGAGAUGAUGCCCAGACUCCUACGGGAGGCAGCAGUGGGGAAUAUUGCACAAUGGGCGCAAGCCUGAUGCAGCGACGCCGCGUGAGGGAUGACGGCCUUCGGGUUGUAAACCUCUUUCAGCACCGACGAAGCGCAAGUGACGGUAGGUGCAGAAGAAGGACCGGCCAACUACGUGCCAGCCGCCGCGGUAA
rnacentral:rRNA from 1 species